AGUACCUCCGCAGGAGGUUCGAGCCUCGCGAAGCGAGACAACGUUGCUUUAGCAACGGCCCGCAGGGCGCGCAUCAACGAUGCGCGUAAUCCUCUCUCGCCGACCA
rnacentral:sRNA from 1 species